rnacentral:rRNA from 1 species
UACGUAGGUGACCAGCGUUGUCCGGAUUUACUGGGCGUAAAGAGCGCGCAGGCGGUCGUUCAAGUCGAGUGUGAAAGCCCCCGGCUCAACUGGGGAGGGUCAUUCGAUACUGAUCGACUGGAAGGCAGGAGAGGGAAGCGGAAUUCCCGGUGUAGUGGUGAAAUGCGUAGAUAUCGGGAGGAACACCAGUGGCGAAGGCGGCUUCCUGGCCUGUUCUUGACGCUGAGGCGCGAAAGCUAGGGGAGCAACGGG